rnacentral:tRNA from 1 species
AAGACACUAGUAAUAACUUAUUACACUGCUUUGUCAAGGCAGAAUUGCAGGUUAGACCCCUGCGUGACUUG